rnacentral:tRNA from 1 species
GGGAGUAGCUCAGUUGGUAGAGCAUCAGCUUCCCAAGCUGAGGGUCGCCGGUUCGAACCCGGUCUCC